CAUAAAUAAAAGAAUAAUUACACCGCGACUUCUUUUCGAUGAAAGUUACAAAUUCGACAACAUGCUGCCAACUGCUCUUUUAAUGGAAUUGUACGAUCAGCAACUUACUCGAGACGAGUUCUAUCAAAUGACGGCAACAACCGAUGGCGAUGAAUCAAAAAAGCUGAUGAAAAUUGAAGAAACUAAACAACUCUCCAAUUUUUACCAUACUGAAACACGUAAUCUUCAAGAAAAUAUAAUUCACGUUUCGUCUGUGUACACUCAAGUCACUUCCAGUGUUUCAUCGUUUCCCACAUCGUCGAUUAAUUCUUCUACAACGUACUGGCAAGAUUUAGAAGUUUACACUCCAGCUUCUAAUAAGCAUAGUUUGAAAAUAGUAUCAACAUGGUACUAUAACAUGAAUUAUUAUUAUCACUACAACCCUAGGACAAAUGGGAGAUACCGAAAGCAAAGAUUGGAAACAAUAAGUAAAUUUUGUUCGUUUUGUUAUAAUAAUCAGGAGAAGGAAAGCAUGUAUACUAGCCAUGAUCUCAGAGACAGGGCAAAAAAUAUUACAUGUCCCGUAUUAUUUGAUGUUGUUUGUCGUCAUUGUGGUGCCACUGGGACAGAAGCACAUACUCCUAAGUAUUGUCCGUAUAAAUCUUAGAUAUAUCAUAGAUAUUUUAAUUUUAGAGUAUAAGAAUAUAAAAGUAAAUGUAAAAAUAUAAAAUUUUUGUUAAA